AUUGAACGCUGGCGGCAUGCUUUACACAUGCAAGUCGAGCGGCAGCGCGGGGGCAACCCUGGCGGCGAGCGGCGAACGGGUGAGUAAUGCAUCGGAACGUAUCCUGUAGUGGGGAAUAACUCACCGAAAGGUGAGCUAAUACCGCAUAAGCUCUGAGGAGGGAAGCGGGGGACCGAAAGGCCUCGCGCUGCAGGAGCGGCCGAUGUCCGAUUAGCUAGUUGGUGAGGUAAAGGCUCACCAAGGCGACGAUCGGUAGCUGGUCUGAGGGGAUGAUCAGCCACACUGGGACUGAGACACGGCCCAGACUCCUACGGGAGGCAGCAGUGGGGAAUCUUGCGCAAUGGGCGAAAGCCUGACGCAGCAACGCCGCGUGGGGGAUGAAGGCUCUCGGGUUGUAAACCCCUUUCAGCAGGGACGAAUCAAGACGGUACCUGCAGAAGAAGCCCCGGCUAACUACGUGCCAGCAGCCGCGGUAAU
rnacentral:rRNA from 1 species